GACGAACGCUGGCGGCGUGCUUAACACAUGCAAGUCGAACGGAAAGGCCCUGCUUUUGUGGGGUGCUCGAGUGGCGAACGGGUGAGUAACACGUGAGUAACCUGCCCUUGACUUUGGGAUAACUUCAGGAAACUGGGGCUAAUACCGGAUAGGAGCUCCUGCUGCAUGGUGGGGGUUGGAAAGUUUCGGCGGUUGGGGAUGGACUCGCGGCUUAUCAGCUUGUUGGUGGGGUAGUGGCUUACCAAGGCUUUGACGGGUAGCCGGCCUGAGAGGGUGACCGGACGGACUGAGGCGGCGGUCAGGCCCAGGAGCCGAGGGGGGGCGGCGGUGGGAAGGAGGGCGAGGCGGGCGGAAGCCGGGGGAGGAUGCGCCGGGGGGGGGAGGACGGCGGGGGGGUUGCACCCCGCUGUCGCCUGUGACGCAGGGUGGGUGACGGUAGGGAGUAAGGAAACAGCAGCUACAUCCGUGACAGCGGCCGGGGUAAGAAUCGGAGGCGCAACCGUCUGACC
rnacentral:rRNA from 1 species